GAAUAUGGGAGGAGUUUCUACGGAGGAGCCAGUGAGGGAUCCUCUUUCAUUUUGAAGAAACGUGCUUGCAAUAGCUGAAGAAGGAUGCUGGCUGGUUUAUCAAGCUUUGUCAUGUGACGAGAAGGAUGUUUGGUCGAAUAUCGGGAGGCGUUGUUUGCGGUGGGAGUGGCGUGUAAAGCAGCGCUCUCAAUGUUUUUAAAUGGUCCCUGAAUGCUUUGAUUCUGUGAGAUCCUCGUGGGAGGGGAGGAGGUCU